GUUAUUUAUCACGUGUGUGCUUCAAAACAAAAAUUUACUUAUGAGCCAAGUGGUGGUGGUGCUCGCCUUUAAUUUGAACACUUUGGGACGUAGAAGCAGCGAGUUUGAGAUCAGCCUGGUCUACAGAGUGAGUUCCAGACAGCCAGUGCUACACAGAGAAACCCCAUCUCAAAAAAAAAAAAAAAAAUGACACAACGAAAUAAUUAAAAAUUAUUCAUUAGUGCGUGUGCGUGCUUUACCACAUGUGGAGGUCAGAAGACAAUCUUCAGUAGUCAUCUCUCCUUCCUCCCCGUGGGGUCAGGGGUCGAAUUCUGACCCAUGCAGGCCUCGCUACUCAAUGAGCCAUCUUGCCUGCCCAAGCGUAGUUUCUUACUGUGUGGUCAAGUUGCCUAACUCUGAGGGACACGGUUUUGUCAUCUCUAGCAUGGGGAUGAGGAUGAGCCUAGUGUAGUUCUAAUUUCAGCAACCCUUCAGGCUGACAGUGGCGUCUGGAGAAUUCAGGACCUGCCUGGGCUACAGGAUGAGACCCUAUCCCAAACCGGAAACCAACAAAUAAAAACAAAAUCUCCACCUUAGGAGAUGAGAGGUCUCGGGAUCACGAAAUGGUGCUUCUAGCCCGAGUGUGCCUGUGCCGCUUUCCACCCACGAGCUUUGCCCACGCCGCGAACACACCAUGGUCUCCCUGCUGUGCCAUGAACACUCGAAUUCCUCCUGCGGUCGCCGAGCUUAAUGGCUCUCCGCAGUCCUUCCCAACCCGGAGGCAGGUGUGCACCCCCAACCUCUGAGCUCAGGUGGAUUCCAUGACCUCACGUAUGCCAGGCAGGCGUUCUACCGCAGAAAACUGUUUUUAGUUCCGGAAGUGUCUCCUAAACCUCGCCAAGCAAGCAUGGGAAAUUCUUGAGGAUCUUGAUAAGAGGUAGGAUUCUAAUCCAGUGAUCUGGGUGGAGUCUGAGAGUCUGUGUUCUGUUCAAUCUCCUUGGUUAGUGUAAUGGCUGCUGUGAAGACCACACUUUGAGAGGCACGGCUCUGGGCUUCCAGAAGCAUAAAUGUCAGCUGAUGGAUCCCUGGACAGUGACUCAGCCCGAGAGUAUGCAGACACUAAAGAAACGCUAGGACUGGGCUGUGUAGACUCCAGCUUGAAGCAGCAGAGAUUCGAACCAAAGGUCACGCUACCCAGCGCUACCAGAAGUGCUUCUGGAUGUUCCCUUGUGCUGAACAGCAUGGCUACCUGUGAUCUAUCCAGGCUUUCUACCUCAGCCACUGCUGCUUUAAGUAUAAUCAUCUCCAGGGCUGAGGAUGUGGCUGUCUGUUAGCGCAUUCGCCUAGCGUGUGGGAAACCCUAGGUUCAAUUCCAAGAGCUGCUUAGAGUACGUCUGGGACUGCUCACCUGGGAUCCCGGCGCUCAGGAGGUGGACGCAGGAGGAUCAAGAAGCUGAAGGUCAGGGGUUGGGGAUUUAGCUCAGCGGUAGAGCACUUGCCUAGCAAGCACAAGGCCCUGGGUUCGGUCCCCAGCUCCGAAAAAAAGAAAAAAAAAAAAAAAAGAAGCUGAAGGUCAACCUUGGCUACAUAGUGACUUUGAGGCUAGCCUGAGCUAUGAGGAACGCUGCCUUAAAACAAAAUACCCUGCUGUCUCAUGUUUGCCCCAUGGGGAGAUAUCACAUAAUUCUCAACUUCCCUCAGAAUUUGGUGUGCAGUUCCCACCUUCUUCAGAAGGAAAACUCAGUUCUUCUAGACUUUGCACCAUCUGGACCUGCCUGGGUCAUUUAUUAUUAAGUCUCAUCCCACACUCACCCUUUGAUCCUUAAACUCAACUCUGUUCUUCCUCUCUGAGAGGCUGGUGUUGUCCAUUUUCAAGUGGUGCAGUGCCUAACUCCUCCCUUUUUUGGGAAGCCUGCUGCUGUGACACCUUUUAUCUAAAUCAAGCUUGGCCAGGAACAGCUAGUUGUCCAUAGCUAUGAUCAAGUAGUCUCAUAGUUAUGAUCAAAUUGUCUCUGUAGUCAUUCUGAUUGACUUUUUUUUUAAAGGAGUAUACAUUUUUUUAAAGAUUUAUUUAUUAUAUAUAAGUUCACUGUAGCUGUCUUCAGACACACUAGAAGAGGGCAUCGGAUCUCUUUACAGAUGGUUGUGAGCCACCAUGUGAUUGCUGGGAAUUGAACUCAUGACCUCUGGAAGAGCACUCGGGUGCUCUUAACCGCUGAGCCAUCUCUCCAGCCCUUGAUUGACUUUUAUUAAAUAGUACUCUCAGGUUUCCUGUUACUGCCUUAUAUUUUGGGGCAGUACAGGCCCCCGCCCUCUUUUACAUACCCUUCUGACUGAGCUCCUCUCGGAGGCCAGAUAUUUUUGCAUCCCACUGUGCUUUACUAUUCCCACCUAGAGCAGUUAGUACUAAGCACAUAGUAGGCCUGUUCCGUGACUGUUACAGGAUAGGUUUUUGAAAAGGCAAGAGGUACCCAGAAGUGUCUAGGUAGCCAUCAGGCUUCAGGGAGGUCAUCUCUAAAAGGGGGUAGAACAGCUAACCAGAAGCAGCCUCGUUAGGGAGUGUUUCUGGGGUUGGUCUUCCUGCAAGGCAGGAGUCAGGGACAGUCAGAGAAGUAAGGACUGGACUGUGAUAGUGUAUGGGAAGGCAUCCGCUGACGCCAUGGUGUGUUCCAAAGACAUCAUGGUCCUUUCACAUAGUCCUGGACUGAGACUGGACGUUUCUACACUCACACGCAGCAGCCGUUGGGCACACCCAUGAAGGAGCUGUGACCCCAGGCAAGGCAUUUCCCGUAAUUACAGCUAUUUCCAGAGGGAGCAGAUAGCUGAGACCCUCUGUGGCCAGUAGUUCUCAGGGAUAAGCCUUUUCUUCAGUCUUGCAGAGGAUCCAGAUAGUACAGAAGAGUGCUUAUCAAGAGGGAGGAGCCCCUACCCCCACCCCGGGGUAUGUGCAGAAGAUCCAAGGGAAGAGUCUGAUGGAUCAGAAAGAGGAGGAUGGCCUUAGGAAGCUACAACCAAAUGAACAUGUAGCCAAGGAUGAUCCUGAAUUUCUAGCCCUCCUGCUUCCACCUCCCAAGGGAUGGAAACAUUAGCAUGUGUCACCACCAUGCCUGGUUCUAUGCAGUGCUGUCGACUGAACCCAGGGCUCUAGCCAGCAUUCUUUUAUUUUUGCAAAGUCCUUUUUUGCUGGGUUCAUGUGAUUCUCUCAUCUUAGCCUCCCGAGAUGGGCCUACAAAUGUAUGUUAUUACACUGUGCCUAAAAUUCUUUUUUCAUUUUAGACAAGGUUUCUCUAUGUAUCCCUAGCUAUCCUGGAACUCUGUAGACCAGGCUGGCCUCAAAUUCAGAGAUCCUUCUGCCUCUGCCUACGGAGUGCUGGGAUUAAAGGCGCUCCCCACUGCUGCCCAGCUCACCCAAAAUUCUUAUCAUCUGUUAGACCAAGGAACCUUGGAUUUUCCUUUUGCACGAAUUAUAUAGUCUUGUUCUCCAGCUCUGGAUACUGAGUCAGGGCUGAUCUCUCUGAGAGACUGUCAGGGAGACACUGGAAAAGGAGGCCAAGGGCCCAGGUAAGCCUCAAGUUGUGUAAUGCAGGAGUUAACAAUGCCCUUGUUUGUGUAUGAAGCCAGGAUCAUGGUGCUGGCUCCACCUAGAGGAAGGAGAGAACCCUAACGGUCUAAUGGUCUAAUCGUCCCUACCGCAUAUCACGCUGUGGAGUCUGCCCUGGAAAACCAGCCCAGUGGAAGAAGCCCAGUGAAAGAAGACAGCCACCUCCUGCUCUUAGAACCUCUUGGGUUUAUAUCAUACGGCAGCUACUGGGUGUUGACAAGAAGCCAAGAUGCGUACAGGGACCAGUAGGAUGCCUUCUGGACCAGGCAGAACAUCAGACAACUAGUCUGGAAGCCAGAGCUAGGCCUAUGAGGCUAAGGGUAUGGAGGUGGGUGGGGGUUGCUGGUGGUUGCUCCCUAAAGACAGACGGUGAGGGACCUGGAUCAAAAGGCUGCCAGUAGGGGUUGGGGAUUUAGCUCAGUGGUAGAGCACUUGCCUAGGAAGUGCAAGGCCCUGGGUUCGGUCCCUAGCUCCGGGGAAAAAAAAAAAAAAAAGAACCAAAAGG